GAUAAACGCUGGCGGCGUGCAUAACACAUGCAAGUCGAACGAUGAAGCUUAACUGAUUUCUUCGGAAUGAUUUUAAGUGGAUUAGUGGCGGACGGGUGAGUAACGCUUGAGUAACCUGCCUUGCACAAGGGGAUAGCCGUUGGAAACGACGAAUAAUACCCUAUGAUAUAAACUCUUCGCAUGAAGGGCUUAUCAAAGAUUUAUCGGUGUAAGAUGGACUCGCGUCUGAUUAGCUAGUUGGUGGGGUAACAGCCUACCAAGGCAACGAUCAGUAGCCGGCUUGAGAGAGUGUACGGCCACAUUGGGACUGAGACACGGCCCAGACUCCUACGGGAGGCAGCAGUGGGGAAGUUGGCACAAUGGGGGAAACCCUGAGGCAGCGACGCCGCGUGAUUUAGAAGGCCUUCGGGUUGUAAAAAUCUUUUGUAUGGGAAGAAAAUGACAGUACCAUACGAAUAAGGACCGGCUAAUUACGUG
rnacentral:rRNA from 1 species